AUUCAAUUACACUUGAGAAAAGUGAUUUCCCCACUUAUCUUAAUUACCCAUACAAUGGCUCCAGCAGCUCCAAGUUCUUCUGAUUCAGACUCAUUGUUCAAUUUUGUCGUCCGAGACGGCAAUGGUGUAAAGGGCUUGGUGGACUCAGGCCUAACCAAGGUUCCACAACAAUAUGUGCAACCCCAACGAGAAAGAAUAGACAAGUCCAAUGCCACAUUAAAUGAUAACCCACCAAUCGACUUGUCCAAGCUUGAUGGUCCUCAUCAUGACCAAGUUGUGCAGGAGAUUGUUAAAGCCGCUGAGAAUUUAGGCUUCUUUCAGGUAGUGAACCAUGGCGUGCCCGUAGAGCUGCUGGAGUCUCUGAAAGACGCAGCCCACAAUUUCUUCGGCCAACCACCUGAAAAGAAGGCUACCUAUCGCAAAGGCCCAUUGGUGAAGUAUGG
rnacentral:misc_RNA from 1 species